CCCAAUUAUCAAACUCCAGCGUCUUCCUCCACCAAAUAAUGAAGCGUUUUUCUCUCAUGUUAACUGCAUUUUGCUCUACAUGCCUUCACCUAUUUCUUCUCUUAAUUACUUUGAAAUCACUCUGGUUUGGCCCAAACACAACUGCCUCUCCAUCAGGAAACCAGACUGACCAUUUGGCAUUGCUCAAAUUCAAGGAAUCAAUAUCCAAUGACCCAUAUGGAAUCUUGUUUUCAUGGAAUAGUUCUACCCACUUUUGCGACUGGCAUGGAAUCACAUGCAGCCCCAUGAACCAAAGAGUUACUGAGUUGAACCUACAAGGUUAUCAUUUGCAUGGGCUCAUAUCUCCACAAGUUGGCAAUCUCUCCUUUCUUAUAAACCUCAACCUCGGAAACAACAGCUUUUACGGAAGAAUCCCGCAAGAAUUGGGUCGAUUGUUACAACUGCAGCAACUCUCUCUCAUCAACAACUCGUUGACCGGGAAAAUUCCUACAAACUUGACAAGUUGCUCUGAUCUCAAAGUCUUAAUCUUAUAUGGGAACAAUUUGAUUGGCAAAAUACCAAAUCAUAUUGCAUCUCUUGUGAAGCUUCAAUAUUUGUACGUUGCAAGAAACAAUUUAACUGGAGGACUCCCACCAUUCAUAGGGAAUCUAUCAGAUCUAGCUGAACUUUCAGUGGGUUAUAAUAACUUAGAGGGAGAUAUUCCACAAGAAAUAUGCCGCCUCAAAAACUUGACAAAGAUAGGAGUGGGUGAAAACAAACUGUAUGGUAUAUUUCCUUCUUGUCUUUACAAUAUGUCAUCUCUUAAUUUAAUCUCAACUCCAGAGAAUCAAUUUAAUGGGUCUCUUCCACCCAACAUGUUCCUCACCCUUCCCAAUCUCAAAGUACUUGAAAUUGGGAAGAAUCAAAUCUCAGGUCCAAUCCCCACUUCCGUUGCAAAUGCUUCUGUCCUUCAACUACUUGAUAUCAGUCAAAACCAUUUUGUAGGACAAGUUCCAAGUCUAGGGAAGCUACAAGAUCUUCGGAUACUACGUUUGUCUAAAAACAAUCUAGGUGACAAUUUAACAACGGAUUUGGAGUUUUUAAAAUCAUUGACAAACUGUAGUAAGUUGCAACUGUUAGCUAUGACCUACAUUAAGUUUGGAGGUCAUUUGCCAAAUUGCUUGGGCAAUUUAUCCUCUCAACUGAGUCGCCUAUAUAUUGGGGGUAAUCAAAUAUCAGGACAAAUUCCCGCAGAAUUAGGAAAUCUAAUUAGCUUAACUCUAUUGACCAUGGAAAAUAAUUGUUUUGAGGGGAUUAUUCCAUCUGCUUUUGGAAAGCUUCAGAAUAUGCAAUUUUUAGAAUUGAGUGGAAACAAACUGUCAGGAAAUAUACCAUCCAUCAUAGGAAACCUCAGUUUAUUGUAUCAUUUGCGUUUAGACCAAAAUUUGUUAGAAGGAAAUAUUCCUCUAAGUAUACGAAACUGCCAAAAGUUACAAUAUCUAAACCUUUCCCAAAACAAUCUUAGAGGAACUAUACCCUUAGAAGUUUUUCGUCUUUCCUCUUUGACAAAUUUAUUAGACUUAUCACACAACUCAUUGAGUGGUAGUCUACCAGAUGAAGUGGGCCAAUUGAAAAAUAUUGAUAAACUUUAUAUAAUGACCCUCACAUUUAUUAUGGAUUUAAUAUUGAAGGAUAAUUACAAAGAAAAAGAAAUAAAGUCACUUUUGGUGAAAAAUGAGUUAAAAUGACAGUUAAGAGGUAAAAAAUGCGGAUAAAUAAAGUUAUCUAAAAGUGAAAGUAAAAAUAGAAACGUGACUAGAAAAAUAUUCUAGUCUAUUGGUUAAAGUUUGGUAAUGAAUGGAGGUGUGUAGAUAGAUGAGCUUAUACCCGCUAGUAUAAUGAAUUUAUAUAAGUGACUCAAGGGAGUCACUGUUCCCUUCUCUUUACGGACGCGAGACAGAGAGAAGGAAGGAAAGAAAAUGAAAAUGGAGAUUUUGAUUAAAAUUCUUCCAAAAUUCAUAACUUGAGCUAGAGACCUCCAAAUCACUCCGUUCCAAAGCCAAACCUGUGAGAAAUUUCGAGAGGAAUCUAUUGGUACCAGUAUUUCUGAGUGGGGUUCACUGUAGAGAGAGAUCUUCUCCCCCAAAGAAUUCGAAUUUCAUGGAAAAUAUGGGUUUUGAUGGAGCUUGAAGCCAUGGGAGCUUGAAGCAAGCUUCUCCCUUCAUUCUAGGUGUACCUAGGGACUGUGAACGUUUGGAUUCUCGUGGAGUAUGAUAAGUAGCUUGUUCUUCAAGUAAGCAGAUUGUAAAGCUCAAAGAGGAAGUGAGCCCAGGGUAUGGAGGGUUUUCCAUAAACCUGGAGUUUACUAGAGAUUCGUCUCUAACCCCGUUUGGGGAUAUGAUUUCAGGAACACAGUUAAUUGAAGAGCCUCAUGGGACAAGGACACUAACCGUGGCUAGAGGUACUAGUAUGAGGAUGUGGAGUUCUGGGUGGUCGGAUGCUACUAUUUGUUUUAGACGUAUUUUUGGAAAAGAUGUAUUGUUGCAUAGUGUUCAUAUUCGAUACAUGUACAUUUAUGUAUUCAGGCAUGAUGAUAUGACUAUGUAGUAUUCAGUUAUGUUAUGUAUUGGAUUGCAUGCUAUUAGAUUUGUGGCACAGAGCCAAGUUCAGCAUGCGCCCAUA